GUCCAGGGUUCAAAUACCCACUCAGGCAUGAAGCUCACUAGGUGACCUUGGACCAAUCAGCAUCUUUCAGCUUAGCCUACCUCACUGGAUUAAUGUGAGGAUAAAAUGGGGAGCGGGAUGUAUGCCAUUGUCAGCUUGUUGGAGGAAAGGUAAGAUAUCAAUGUAAUAAAAUAAUUCCUGUGUUCACUUACUUGGGUUUAAGUCUCAUUGAAAUCAGCAGAACCCCACUUUUCAUCCAAACAGGCUCCCUGUAUCUUAACAGGUUAGUACCAAACAAAAAAAGUUUACAGUCUUAACAGGCAUGACACAAAAGGAAUAAGGGUUGGAGAGGGAGGAGGCACAUGAGUCGGUUGAUAAUGUUGCCAUAAUUUGUUGUGUGCAUGUAGUACAUUUGUUACCAUUAGACAGGACAGCCUCUGCUCACAGAAGCCUUCAAGUACAUUGCUGAUUUAUAAAUUUAUAUAUUGCAUAAUAAAAACCCAAGCAGUUUGCAUAAAAGUAAUAAAAAUGCAACAAUUUUCAAUAAUGUUUCCUUUAAACUGAGAUGGAAACAAAACUAUAUAGCACAAAGAAAGCUGAACAGCACUGAAAAUUAUGUGCCAGUCUAGGAAAUAUUUGGUAGACAUAAAUGUUUCUAAGCGGCAAUUAAAGGUGAUUACUGUCUCCGCCUUACAAAUUGCUUAAGGGCAUUCCAUAGGUUGGGUGCUGUCACCAAGAAGGUCUGCUUCCCUGUUGUCAUCAAGUGACAAUCGGCAGAGUCUCCUUCAAACAUCUACCAGGGAUCUGCUAGCUGGUUUGCUACAUACAGUAUUGGUGUUGUAUAGAAGGUGGGUUAUCUCUAGGAUGUAUAACCUCUGUACAGUGUCUUCUAAGUAACAGUGGUAGGAAACAAAAUGUUUUGUGAGUAGGUGAACGAAGGAAAGUUUCUGGGGGAGUGCCAGCAAAGAACUUAAAGCUAGGGCAGCAGGAAUUGGAGCCAAGUUUAGUCAUCAGAGUAUAAUAAGAGCCCUGCUGGAUCAGGCCACUGGUCCAUCUAUUCUAUUCCUCCAUUCUAAUCUUACAGUGGCCAACCAGAUGCUUAUAGGAAGUCAGAGUUGUAUAGUGCUGAACAUUUUUUUCCACUUUUCGGUCUUUUGUGGCAUCAUUUUUAACAGUUUGUAGCAGCAAACAGUGGGGCGUCACUUUCAUUCAAGUGGUGCUGUUCCAUGACAACCAAAAAAAGUAUACUUUCCACCUUCCAAGGAAAGUAAAAUGAAAGUAUUAGAUUUUAAAUACUACUGACGCUGUGCGACCUAUUAUGAAUCUCAAAAAUUAAUACAGUUCGGUACAGCUGCAUGAUUAUGAAAAGGCACCAUUAAUAUAGAGAGACCUGCCAGCGAUGCCUCAUUAAUGGAAGGUAAGCAUGUUGGAGGAUCCUUGGGUUUUAUUUCAGUGACUUUUUCCUUUCGCCUUUGUACUGCUGAACCUUGAAAAUGUAAAGAGCUUCAAGAAUUUUUGAAACAAAAACUCCUGACAGGGGUUAAGUGCUCAUUAAAAUUAAUAGGACUAGCAAAGGAGGUUGCUUCCAAGAAAACAAAAAUCUGGGAACAUUUUGGCCUGAAUAAUGACUGAUUUCACUAGUAAAUGGAGAGGUGAGCAAUACAAUAUUUUUCUGCAGUCUUACCCCUUUUUCGCUUAAGAAAAUAAAACUUUUUUUUUAAAAAAAGGUAUGAGGCAUAACCUCUCAAAUAUAAUUAAUUUUGAGUCUGGCACCCUGAUCCUAUAUAUUUGUAUAUGCUUAUCAAUGUACAAAUAUCCCAGAGGCAUUGGAAUAAUACUGAUUUGUUUAUUUUUUAAAAAAUGACAUGCCACUUUUCCCCUUGAGGUAGGUUCACCCAAAGCGGCUUACAAAUAUAGAAGCAAACAGAGACCCAAUAGCCAAAAUGCAAAAGAUCAAAGAGCCAUGCAAACACAGUGAAGCAUCAUUGAUACAUAAAAGUAUUUGUAGUCUCUCUGUUAUCAAGUCCAGGCCGGUUGCACCCCUGUAUAUGAUGGUCUAGAGGGAGGGCAACGCUAUGGUCGGUCUCUUUAGUACUGAGUGGGCUAUUUUUGGCUGCCAGGAGCACCAACUCCGUCAGGAGAGACGUUACCUUUUCUAAUUUGAUGUUAAUUUCCUCCACUGUUCUUGCAGUCAGCAGACAGUGGUCCGCGAGUAUUUCUGCAUAGAGCGGUGCCCCCUCAGACGGUAGUUCAUGGGAUAAUUCAUGAGCGCUCAUCUCAGCAUUCUCCCCUGGGUGAUCUCCACCCAUUAAAGCAUCCCCACCUACCUGGGAAUGAAUCCUAUUUGGUGUGGUAGAUUCUGAGUUCUGUGCUUUUACAAAAUCGUCCAUUUUGCUCUGCUUGCUCUUCUGUGGGCUCCCUUCUGGAGAUGAGGCCAGUCGUUUCUUUUUCCUAGGCAUUUUCCAGGGAUAGAGCCGCUGUAAAUCAGAGCAGCUUCUGCUGUAAAUCAGGAAGCUCUCUCUCUCUCUUUCUUAUGAAAGCCCUGUACAAUGGAACCAAACUGCAGGUCCGAUGCGGUCGACAGGGACAGCUAUCGAACAGCAUCGAGAUGACUAGGGGGGUGAGACAGGGUUGUAUUUUGGCCCCCACAUUGUUUUGUCUAUUCUUAAAUGACCUAGAAGAGAACUUAAUGGACCCAGAUGGACACAUUCCAAAAAUAGAAAUGAGAAGGACCCCUUUGUUGUUGUAUGCUGAUGACGCGGCCAUCAUCUCGCGUUACAGACCGGGCUUGAAUUAUCUGUUGAGGAAAUUUUCUGAUUACUGUUCUGGAAAUGGUUUAUCCAUUAAUUAUGAAAAAUCUAAAAUUUUAGUCUUCGAAAGAAGAUUCUCCCAGUCUAAAUGGGUGCUGGAUGGCCAUAACCUUGAACAGGUAAAAUACUUCAGUUACCUAGGGCUCACAUUCCAUCAUACAGGAUCUUGGAAGCACCAUUGGCAAACCUCCCUUCAAAAGGCGGAGAUUACAAAGCUAGCCAUACAUAGAUUCUUCUUCACAAAGGGCGGCAAAUAUGUUCCAGCAGCCUUAAGGGUUUUCAACGCAAAGCCCGUUUCCCAACUCCUGUAUGCAGCAAAUGUCUGGCAUAAUGGGGACCUGCCAAAGCUAGAUGGCUUUCAGGCAAAAUUUAUACGAUCUCUGCUGCAGGUACCUAACUGCGUCCCUAACUCCGUACUUCUGUUGGAAGCUGGUGAAUGCCCAAUUUCAGCUAGAGCGUGGUGGGCUGCCCUAAAACAUUGGCUCAGGAUUUCAGUGUUUAAUCUAGGGAAGGGUCUGUACCAACAUUUGACCAAUGAGGAAUUCGUCAGCAAAUGGUAGAAAACCAUGGCUAAAAAAGCCACCUCUAUUGGUCUGUCUCUCCCGCCCCCUCCACUGUAUUACCUGGGCUAUGAAGGCGCCCAAAAGGUUUUAAAGCAAAGAUUAUGGGACAAUGCACACAGUGACUUGCGAUCUCGGUCACACGCAGUCUGUAGUCCGCUGGCAGCAGGAGUUCAAUAUGGGUAUGUCUUUGAGUUAACAGCUUACAUCAAAAACCUAACAGUACCUAACUAUCGAAGGCUUUUCACCAAAGCCAGACUGAAUGUCUUCCCCUCUGCAGUGCUGGAUGGUAGGUUGAGAGGAGUUCCCUACCAGGACAGACUUUGCUCGUGUGCUCAAGACAUCGAUUCCAUAGAUCAUAUUUUGUUACAUUGUGCGAAGUAUGAGCAGGCCAGGGCUGAACUGAUACUACCCUUGCUGGUGCCUUUCCCAGGAAAGUCAGAGGCUCACUAUGUCAGGUUCCUACUGGAAGACCGGACAAAAGCUAGAACGUUGGCAGUGGCAAAGUUUUUAUCGGUGGUUGCAAGAACAAACGAGCCCUAUAUUCCAAACAAAGUGCUUGAUUAACCUGGAGGUAGACUGUAUGAACUCUGUAUUAAUUUGUAAUGUUUUGUUGGGUCUCUGGACCGUAAUAAAGAUUGAUGAUGAUACAUAAAAGUGGCAAUAGAAUCAAAACCGUGCUUAAAAGGGGGGUAUUUUCAGUUUCCAGCACAUCUCCAAUUGCUAGGAGGUCAGAACACUCAGGAAAUAGGAGGUAGUACUCCUUUCCUGAGCUCUAAUGUUUCCUUUCAAUGGUGCUUUGCAAGCAGAGGUGACUUGUGCAAGGAAGAGGCACAACCAAUUUUGCCAUGGGCCUAAGCAACUUCAAGCAUCUUGAUAGGCCUGAUUUGGGCUGCGGAGGACGCUAGGAUUGCGUUUAGCCCCUAGAGCCCUCCGGCCUUAUAUAACUUCCUGUUGUCCUAACCCAUCACAUAAAUCAGGACAAAACCUCCUGAUGAUAGAUCCUGUUAUCUACGCAAGAGCUAUGCUUUCUUUCUAAAUGCCUUACAUCCAAGAGUUCUAACCACAGAGGGCCUUCUCGGUGGCUGCACCCCUGUUAUGAAACACCCUUCCAACAGGGAUCCUUUUAGCAUCUACAACACUGCCUUUAGCAGUAGGUAAACACUCCUGUUCAACCAAGCUUUCUGAUUAUUCUGUUCUGCAUUACUUAGAGGGCAUAUCUGUUAGCGUAGUUUGCUUAUGCUGGAACAGCUUUUUGUGUUGCUUUUAUUGCUCUUUUUGAGACAUUGUUCCUAAUCUGGUGAUGGUCAUUCUUGUUUUUGUUUGAAAAUGGUUCUUCUUUGCAUGAGCUGCCUUGAAUACUACUGUGUAUCAGAAAGACAGCACAAACAUACUGUCUGGUGGAUAGGAAAUAUUUGUUUUAUUUAGCAAAAUGUUAUACUGCAUAAUUAGAAAGAAUUCACUCAGCGAUUUGCAUAAAAUAAUCUAGAACUUUCAUAAGAAUUUGCCGAUAAAAUCAACAGUUCCAAAAACAAUGAAAUAGAAUAAAAUUACUGGUCUGGGUAUAGGGUUGUCUAACAAAACUUUUUAGCGGGCAUCAAACACAAUGCAGCUAAGGUGCCUGUCUAAUGUAUUAAUAUUGCUAUGUUUGCAGUGCAGUUGAUAAGCGCCAGGGCAAUCUCAACUUGGAUGCUGCUUCUGCUGCUGAAUAGCUCUGACUCAAAUCCAGUGUGCACUUUCAUACCAUUACUGACUUUGACUGUGCUGACAGCGGCAAAAUCUUUUGCCAGAGAGCAAACGGGGCUUGUCCACUUGCAGAAUUGAGACAGGAAGUAGCAGAUGUUUUUCUUCUGAGUAGGAUCUGUCAAAAACUGUACAAGAUAUCUGAAUAUGUUUCACUUCUGAUUUUUGUAAGCUGCUCUGGAAUUUUUUUGAGCUAAAAAGCAAGGUAAAAAAAUCUUCCAAAUAAAGAAGGGAGCAAUCAUGACUCCCACCCACCCAGCCCCGUGGGGCUUUAUGGAGUACAGGGGUGACUUCCACAUCUGCAGCUUGGCCAGAGAUGGUAGCCAGGGCAGAAGGUGGGUAGGAAGUUUCAUCGGGCCCAGUGCCAUUAAGGAAUGGAAGUGAGCUCAGUUUUGGAUCCAACCCCUAAAAAUCAUGUAAAUUCACAACUAAAUAACUUGGAUGCAUUGUUAUUUGCAUCUUUCGUUGGGCUGUACUUACAUGCUUUCAUUAUUUUUUUUAAAAAAUCCCAUAGAAGGAUUGUCUUUAAAAUAUUCCCAAAUAGCAACCUUCCCCAACCUGAUGCCUGCCAGAUGUUGUUGGACUGCAUCCCUCAUCAGCCCUAGUCACUAUGACCCAUGGUCAGGGAUGAUGAAACUUGUAGUCCAAAUUGUUGGGAAGGCUGUUAGUGGCAGGUCUUUGGAGCAGGGAAAUGCAGCAGUGUUGACUUACCACAUUUUGAAGUAAUACACAUUUGCAUCUAGAGAGCUCUCCCCCCAUUAUAUUUAGAGGGUUGGACGCGGGUGGCGCUGUGGGUUAAACCACAGAGCCUAGGACUUGCCAAUCAGAAGAUCGGCGGUUCGAAUCCCCGUGAUGGGGUGAGCUCCCGUUGCUCGGUCCCUGCUCCUGCCAACCUAGCAGUUCGAAAGCACGUCAAAGUGCAAGUAGAUAAAUAGGUACCACUCCGGUGGGAAGGUAAACAGCGUUUCCGUGCACUGCUCUGGUUCACCAGAAGUGGCUUAGUCAUGCUGGCCACAUGACCUGGAAGCUGUACGCCGGCUCCCUCGGCCAAUAAAGCGAGAUGAGCGCUGCAACCCCAGAGUCGGCCACGACUGGACCUAAUGGUCAGGGGUCCCUUUACCUUUACCUUAUGCAAUAUUAGUCAAGGGUAGACAUAUUGAAGUUAAUGCACAUGGCUAACGUAGAUCCAUUCACUUCAAUGGGUCUACCUCUGAGUAGUAGGUAGCUGGAUACAUGUCAGAGUCUACAGUUGUCUAGCUGCACAUUUGUGUCAUCCCUACAUCUUGUAAUACGUCCUGUAAGGUUAUUAUACAUUUUGUGAAGAAUUUUCUUUUCUCUGUCCAGAAACUACUGCUGAUUACUUUCACUGACUUCUAUUGUGUGUGUGUGUGUGUGUGUGUGUGAGAGAGAGAGAGAGAGAGAGAGAGAGAGAGAGGUAGAAGCAGUUUCUCUCUCCACACAGUUCAUAAAUUUAUAAACCCUCUUUCUGGCCCCUCCUUCGUCAUCUUUGUUUUGUUUCAUUAAUCCAUUUGUCACACUUAACUGUCAUGACUAAUAGCCCUUGAUAGACCUAUCCGCCAUGACUUCUUCUAAUCCUUUUUUGUACUAGUGAAGACAGAUGCAAUAUUUAAGGAGCGGUCACAGCGGAUUCUUCACCCUUGCAUGAGACCCUCUGCAAAAUUUGCAUAAGAAGCAUAUGUGCCAGUACAAUGGUUCAGCCACUGGGUUUAACCCGCACCCCUUGCUCCAGUCAGGCACGUGAAGAUUUAUUCAUUUAUACUUUCAUUCUUCAUCUUAGUAAAGAACAAACCCACAAACGUGUUUAAAAGAUGCUCUUGGGGAUUGUAGAUGAUGUAAUGGAAUAGCCAACCAGUGCCCUUCAUAGCCAGCUCUUCUUUGGUUAAGAAUGAAUCAUGCUGCCAAUUUGUGGAACACAUUUUCUAGAGCUCAUGCUGGGAGAAAAAGAAGAUAUUACCUUUGUAUUAAAUCCUGUAAUCAUGGAGUAAAUUUUGAAGUACAAGAACUCAUCAUUGUAGCCCCUAAAGUCCUUAACCAUGCCCCCAAGGAAAGUCCAAAAAUUCAGGCAGAUGUGCUGAUCCAUUAAAACACACAUAAACAGAGCAGCAGUAUACAGCAUUAUACCCAGUUUAAUUAGAUUCACUGUCUGUGCUUUUGUUCAUCAAGUAUUGGAGAGUAAGCUCCAUUGAACUCAGUGCUUCUUCUGACUGUACAAGUUUGAGAUGUACAGCAGGUGGAAUGUUAACAAAAGCUCUUCAGCCUGCUGAAUUGCAACCUUUAGUUUUCUGUUAGAAAUGCAAAUAGGCUUGCAAAAAACAACAACAACAUUUAAACUACUAGUUUGAAGUAGGAACACUAUGAAAGAAAAGGAGAGAAGAAUCUAGCCCAUGCUUGAUUGCUUUUCCUCUCGUUCUCUGACUUGCUUGAUGCUGAAAGUGUAAAUCUCACCAUAUCUUCCUCAAGUGCUUGUGCGUUUUUGUGUGUGUUUCCCUCUCUCAAAUAUGACUUGGCUGGAAUGUAGUGUUGUACAAGGGUACAAAAAUUGCUCUGCCACUUUUGCUUCUGGCCCUGUCCACUACUGGUGCGUGGCCCCUGGAAGGUCAUCCAGGAAAAAAUGUGGCCCUUAGGCUGAAAUAGUUUCCCCACUACUAGUGUAGGCAAUAUUGGGCCAAACACACAAAUAGCUUGACCUGGCAUAAGGCAACUUCCUGUAUUCCUUUGCUGCUGCCCCUGAGGAAAGCCCAGCUCCUAUACUCUCCACAUGUGCAGAGUGACUGUCUACAUUUCUGCAUUGAUAUUUCAUUUCAGCAUUGGACUCUUGUUAGAUUGCCGUGUUUUGUUUAAUCUAGCACAGUUGUUUUUUUAAAAUUUCAGGGUAAUGUUUUCACCCAAAGCUCCAUAUUCUCUCAUAUAUAUAUAUUCAGAAACUGCUUCUGUUCACAUGUGCCACAAGUCUUACAUAACCCAGACAGGCGGUGGGAGCAAGCUCGUUGCUGUGACAUUUAUUACACUGAGCACGAGGCUUCUAUUCUGGUUCCCCUCAAUACCAGGUGCCACUCUAGGUGGCAGGUGGUAGGUUUUAAUCAGCGGCUUUGCAUUGCUUCAUAUGUUAGCCUUGUUAUUUUUAUCUCUUUUUGGGGUAUGUUUUUGCUCUAUUCCUUAUUUGAGCAGCUUCUAAAUUACUUGAUAAUUAAUGCGGCAACUCGUUGCUUCCCCUGAAUACAGAGCCCAAGCCGGUGCAAUCCUUUCAGUGACAGCUAUUUAUACAUAUAUGUGUGGCAUGGGCUGUGUUUUCCUCCCCCAUGUUUCAAAGCAGGGUACAUCUCACUCCACCCCCAGUGUGUGCAUCUUGGCUUCCCUAAUAUGCUUUGUGCAGCUUCCUGCAUUGUGUCUGAUGAGAAGCUCGACUCGGAUCCAGAUGGGGGGAGUGUUGCAUUGCUCUGCUCUUGCUCCUUUCCCUGCGAAAGCCUUGCCAUGCUGCAGCCAGAUAUCGCAGCCUUAAUUACACCUGCUGUGCCUCCCAAAUAAUGUGAAUUCAUGUGGGGCGGCAAUGUGAAGAGGUGCCUUACUGUGAUUGCUAAUGACUUCGGAUGCUGGUCAGUUGCAUAGCUGCCCUCCUUUCACUUAUGAGAUUUGCUGCUGCAGCAGUUUAGCUCACCAGUCUCCCCGGGACUGCAAUUUAUCCUGAUGAGGAGCUUGCCUUUUCUGUAUGGAAACAACAGUUAAGGCUCAUCUUCACUGAAAUCAUAAGGGUAGGUCUCUGUAUAAUCUUAUGGACCCUGCAGAUUCUUGAAAAGGAUUGAAGAGCUCAAUGGACUACGCAGUACAGUGGUGCCCCGCAAGACGAAUGCCUCGCAAGACGGAAAAACCGCUAGACGAAAGGGUUUUCCGUUUUGAAGUUGCUUCGCAGGACGAAUUCCCCUAUGGGCUUGCUUCGCAAGACGAAAAUACCUUGCGAGUCUUGAGAUUUUUUUUCGCUUUCCCCCCCCUUUAUCUAAUCUGCUAAACCUUUAAUAGCCUUUAAUAGCCUUUUAGCAGCUAAUCCCCUAAGCCUUUAAGCCUUUAAUAGCCGCUAAACCGCUAAUAGCGCUAAUAGCGCUAAUCCGUCAAUGGGCUUGCUUCGCAAGACGAAAAAACCGCUAGACGAAGACUCUCGCGGAACGGAUUAAUUUCGUCUUGCGAGGCACCACUGUAAAUAUUUUUCAAAUAAUAAUAAAAAGCAUUGCCACUGGAGUCAGAUGACCAUUGUCUUUGCAGUGAUUUUUCUAUUUCCAGAAUGUAAAGGUUGUGCAGAAAUAAGCACACAGUUAAGUUCCACACUUGUGACAUCAGUCCGGCAUUCUGAAAUCCAAACUAGUACAGCAUAUUAUCUGACAAGGCCAUAUGGUUCUGGCCCAAGAGCAAUUGGUUUCACUGGCAAUGAGGGCUGAUGGGACAUGGAGUUCAGCAAUAUCUUAUACCCUGUCUUAUACCGAAUCCUUAGUCAAUAGAACCCACCACUGUUAGAUCCCAAGACAACAUAGAGAUGGAUCCUGGGAGUUCUUUACAUCUUCCAUGCAAAGUUCCUGGUUGAGACCAUCCAACUAAUGAUUCUGGAUGACUUCUUCACAAUAUAUCGUUUCUGUAGAACAAAAUGCCUGGGUGUCCAGAGUGAAUGAAAGAAAAAAAAAAUUAUACAUGUUCAUUGUGUGUGAUUUUAGCAGGUUACAUGGUGAAGCAGUUAUUGAAUAGUUGUGCUGGGGAGAUAAGUCACUUUGCAACAGAAUAAGAUAAGCAGUUCCCAACCCCUCCACCCCCACCCCCACCCCCACCCCCACCCCACUACUAGCUUAAUUGCCGAAAGGUAGUCAGAGAAUCUGGGCUGCUUGCAGGAGCCUGGAGGGAAUGUGAAGAGGAACCACCACAACAUUGUCCUAGAAGUGACAAGCAGCAGCAGCAAUAACAACUCCAGGGACUCCUGAGAUAACUUGAAAAUACGAAGUGCACAAGCUUGUGUUUGCAAACCUGUGGUUCGUUCCUUCAUUAGGAAGCAAGGGUUGUCUGUGGCUCCUUGCCGGGUGUUGGUUUGUCAGCAAAGCUGGCUUUGCUAGUGCAUGUUGUGAUGGGUAAAAAGGAAUUUAAAAGAGGUAGACUGGCAAGAAAAGGACGCACAGCUACAGCAUCUGCCAUGUCAAACAAAACGGCUAUAGCCUUGAGUUGGCCGCCAUAUGCUGGCCCCAAUUGCACAUCACUUUAGACCAGCCUUUCUCAACCUGUGGGUCCCCAGAUGUUGUUGAACUACAACUCCCAUCACCCCUAGCUAGCAAGGCCAGAGCUCAGGGAUGAUGGGAGUUGUAGUCCAACAACAUCUGGGGACCCACAGGUUGAGAACCGCUGCUUUAGACCAUCAUUAAAGCUUAACUAUGGUUUAAAGAGCACACAUGCUGGUGCAUGAGACUCAAACUGUGGACACUUGUCCCUUUCCUGCUCCUGCCACACAUUGCCAGGAGCUAAGCAAUGGUUUGGCUUAGUGCAGGUUAGAGUUCAGCUAACAUCCUAAGUCAGGUGUGCAAGCUACGGUGGUACCUUGCUUCUCGAACUUAAUCCAUUUGGGAGUCCCAAAACUGUUUGAAAACCAAGGUGCGGCUUCCGAUUGGCUGCAGGACCUUCCUGCACUCAAGUGGAAGCCACAUUGAACAUUUGGCUUUUGAAAAACAUCCGCAAACCAAAACACUUAUUUCUGGGUUUGAGGUGUUCGGGAGCUGAUUUGUUUGGCAACUGAGCCGUUCGAGAACCAAUGUACGACUACUGCAGAAAGGUAGAAUCCACAUUUCUCCCUCUGCCCCACUUUUUCUUCUGGCUCCACCCAGAAGAACCUGCUGGAUGAGGCCAAUGGCCCAUCUAGUCCACUAUCCUGUUCUCACCGUGGCUAACCAGAUGCCUGUAGGACCCAAGUACGAGAGCACUCCCCACUCCAUGGGUUUCAUAGCAUAACCAUCAUGGCUAGCAGCCAUUGAUAGCCUUAUCCUCCGUGUGCCUCCCAGAAGGCGCGGAAAGGAAAGGAACCUAAUAAGUGUUUCUCAUCCCUGCACGGUUGGGGCAAGGACAAAGUUUUGCCUUGCUGCGGUGCUUGAAAGAAUACGGGGCCUCUUUUUGCGUCCUGUCAGCUUAUAAAGCCAAAAGGGAGACCCUGAUCAGGUCAUUUAUCUUUCUUAACUUUUUUUCAAAGCCUUGAAAAUUGUCAAAUCAGGGAAUGUCUCUUUUGAUCAGGGUGCACGAUACCUUCUUACUGUUAAUCAUUGCUAUCUCCUUCCUCCUGCUGCCAAGCAAUUGGUAUCCAGUGCUACUUUCCCAUGCCUGUAAUGAUUUAUUCAUGCCAUGUUUUAAUUUCUCAGCAGAGCCAGGGAUAUUGAUUGCUCAGCAUGGUGACAAGGGGGAGGAAUCCAUAUUCAUUCUAGGGGGGAAAAUAUUUAAAGACUUCGUUGCUGCAAGAAAAUAGCUAAUGCUACUUCAUGCAUUGCUUCAGUAUUUACAUCCUUUGAAGUGAAUGUCACCAUUCUGAUAAGUUUCUUUUAUAGCUGUUUUUUAUUGGCUUUCAGCUGUCCUUUGAUAACCCCCACACUUCUAGGACUUUAUGCUGUGCUUACCUUAAAAAAUAAUUCUGAUGUCCCAGGUGGAUACAGUGGUGCCUCGCAAGACGAAAAGAAUCCGUUCCGCGAGUCUCUUCGUCUUGCGGGUUUUUUCGUCUUGCGAAGCAAGCCCAUUAGAGGUUUAGCGGCUUAGCGCUACAGUAUUAGCGGCUUAGCCGGCUCAAAGAUCAGCUGAUAAGCAGCUUAACGAUCAGCUGAUAAGCGGCUUAGCAUCAGCUGUUAAGCGGCUUAAAGAUCAGCUGAUAAGCGGCUUAGCCAUCAGCUGAUAAGCGGUUUAGCGGCUUGGGAAAAAGGGGGGGGAAGGAAAAAAACCCCGCAGGAACUCGCAAGACAUUUUCGUCUUGCGAAGCAAGCACAUAGGAAAUUCGUUUUGCGAAGCACCUCCAAAACGGAAAACCCUUUCGUCUAGCGGGUUUUCCGUCUUGCGAGGCAUUCGUCUUGCGGGGCACCACUGUACAUUUCUUAGCUGUUCCGGGGCUAGGUACAUCUACAAUCCAUUCUAGAUCAUGUUUUUGAUAGUGUGAGGCAGUGUGUAAGGAGCUACUGGCUCUGCAAUCAACCCCACCAUGUGGUGGACCGUUGCAUUGCAGGUGGCAACUUCUGAAUAAAGUACUGUACAGUUAUGUCCUGGACAAGAAAGAGUAUAAAAGACUUCCUGUUCCAGCUGAGCUCUGCUUGAGGUCUACCUGAGUUCCAGGAAAUUUCCUGAAAGUUUAGUUAAUGUGGGUUUUUUGGUCCUGAUUCGUUCCUCACUCCUGUCUCACUGUUUAUGUCAGGGGUCAGCAAACUUUUUCAGCAGGGAGCCAGUCCACUGUCCCUCAGACCUUGUGGGGGGGCUGGACUAUAUUUUUUUUUUGGGGGGGGAAUGAACGAAUUCCUAUGCCCCACAAAUAACCCAGAGAUGCAUUUUAAAUAAAAGCACACAUUCUACUCAUGUAAAAACACCAGGCAGGCCCCACAAAUAACCCAGAGAUGCAUUUUAAAUAAAAGGACACAUUCUACUUGUGUAAAAACACGCUGAUUCCCGGACCAUUUAGAAGGUGAUUGGGCCGGAUCCGGCCCCCGGGCCUUAGUUUGCCUACCCAUGGUUUAUAUUCUCUUUCUAUCUUGCUCUUUGUUCCUGGUUUGACCUACAAGUCUUGGCGCCUGUCUCAGCUCAGAUCACUGUUCAUGGCUCAGUCCUGAAAUACAAGGUGAACAUAGGACAGGGGUCUAGAUUCAGGUAGGUAUCUGUGUUGGUCUGACGCAGUCGAAAUAAAUAAAUAAAAAAUAAAAAAAUUGUCCAGUAGCACCUUAGAGACCAACUAAGUUUGUUCUGGGUAUAAGCUUUCAUGUGCAUGCACACUUCUUCAGAUACACUGAAACAGAAGUCACCAGACCCUUAUAUAUAUAGUGGGAGGGUGGGGUGGGUUUUUUCUCAGAAGGGUAGUAGGAGAUGGGUGAUUGACUCAAUGGGUAUGGUAACAACUGCAAUCAGUCCUACAGGAAAAAGCAAGGGAUAGUAUGCAGAUGACCAAAAAUAGCUUUAGCAUAGGACAGGGGUGGCUCACCUGCACCCUGAGGUCAAUAUCUAGCCCCCUGGAGGUUUUUUGUGACACAUAUUUUUAAGUCAUUUUAACUGUUCUCAUAGGGCCCCCAGUGCAAUGAUACUUUGAUUCCAAAAGGUUUUUGGGCAUCACUGAAUGUGUCCAGGUUUUUUAAAAAGCUCACUCUCUCUCUCUCUCUCUCUAUAUAUGGAAUAUAAUAUGAUCACUUGCAGGGAAGCCAUGCUGAGAUUCUGUAAUGCCAAAAGGUUUCUGUACUUAAAACCCCCACAUAUUUUACUUGACCAUUCCCAUGGAUACACCUGUCAUUGACAUGGUCAGGUAGGAAUGUGCUGCCAACAAGCACACCUCUGUGGACAUGCCUAUCGCCAUAUGUGCAAGGUUCACCUGAAAGAGUUUCAGGAGAAUGGUUAGCUUGAAAGGGAGCUGUUAACCCAGCAGAACUGCAGCGGAGCCUGAGACUUUCAUAGCUAGUUCCUCAUUUACCAGGUUUUCUGCUGGGUUAUUUUGAGGGACAAAACUAGGGCUUUGCAAGGGGAAAGGCCCACUGCACUAUCCCUACAAGUCCCCUUCUAGUGCUGCAGCAGAGAUGUUUUAAGACUGGUGCUGUUGAAAAUGUAGAUCAGCCCUGAAAGCUACAGAAGUCAUCCAGACAUCCUCUUGUGUUAACCUCCCAUUGAAUAUUCUGUGUUCAUAUACAUAUCUUACUGCAUAUCCUUUAACCAAUAUGUCUCACUGCAUGUCUUCUGUCUUCUGCCUUUCCCGAACAUGCUGGCGCUCAUCCCAGUUAAUUUUUAAAGAGUUGCUCUCAGAAUAUUGGAGGCAGAUGCUGCUCCGAGUCGAGAAUGAUUUGCUCUUGAUUUUAAUAAGUUCUUAAGAGCACACCCAAUUGUCAGAUGCCCAGUUUCUGAGCAUGUACUUAGCGUUGUGCUUGCCACGAGGUACCUUUCCCACUGGAAACUGCAGUGCUGUGUCAAACUCAAUACCGUUUCUCAGCAGAGACAAAGGUAAAUGUCAAAUUUCACUUGUCGCCAUGGUUUGACACCUGCCUCAAUCUCUGCAAGGAAUGUGCCAAUCAUCUUUACCCUUUUCCGGUUUGUUUCAUCGGAAGGUGUUAACUCUGGUCAACCAUUUGUCUGUGUGCAUGAGCUGAUUCUGUGAAAGGGGUGUGUGUGUGUUGUGUCAAGUGAAGAGGUGACCUCUUCUCUGGCCUUGUUUAGCUAACAGCUAAAGAUGUUUUCUUUCAAAGGGUACAGAUGACUAGGAGAUGCUUGCUCAAUAAGCAUUGCUGGCUGGUGGCCCAUAGAUAGUUUUACGUCUUACCUCCUGGGUUGGGGGAAAUGUGAAGGAGAGAGAAGUUUUUGCAGCUGACUGAGGGCAUCUAAGGGAACACUUUCCUCUGGGGAAAACCUAAUGUUCCUCUUAAGAUGAGCAGUGCCUACAUAUUGGCCUGCUUUCCCAUUCUCUCUCUCUCUCUCUCUCUGUCUCUCUGUGUGUGUACUCUCUCUCUCUUUCACUUACAUGCAAGGAGAUGGGAGAGAAAUACGAUUUUGUUUGCAUUUUAAUGGAAAACUACCCAAUCCACACUGCUCAAACCAAUAUGUGAAAGAAACACAGCUAUCCUUGCAAUUUGUACUUCCCCCAUAUUUAGUAGUGCAGUUCCACAACCCAAGCAGUGUGUAUAAGAAUGCAUAUAUUAGGGACAUGAGUGCACAAAAAUGCAUAUGUUGGUGCAAAUGGCAAAUAUGCAUUUAAAUGAGGGGAAACCACUUGCAGAAAUAUGUAACUCAAUCAAGCCUGCGUACAACGAUGUGCCUUUUGAAGAAAUUCACAGUAGAAUACUGUACUGAUGAACUUUAAAUAGCAACACCCGAAACCCCUACAACUUUCUGCAGAAGUGUGGAGAAACUGAAACUGACAUAUUUGUCCUUCCUUAGCGAUACAGCUGUGGUUCUCCAGCCUCACAAAGGAAACUGAAGAGAAGCUGUUCCUGAAUUUUCCUACUGCUCAGGAAAGUGGGCAGCUCCUAACUAGAGAAGAAGUAGGACACUCACCCUGCCGCUCAUUAAAGUGGGAGAGGGAAUAAAAGAGAAGAGGAUGGUUCUGUGACUGAUAGAAAACUGAAAUUUCAUACACAUCUCAUAAAACAUACCUGG